CUACUUACCUGGCAGGGGUGAUACAAUGAUCAAGAAGCUACUUACCUGGCAGGGGUGAUACAAUGAUCAAGAAGGUUGUAUUGGAUCAAUUCCUCAAAUGUGGGAAUCUUGACUGCACCAUUUCUGGUAGUGGGGGACUGCGUUCGUGCUCUCCGCUG